CACGGGGGGAGCAAGCGUUGUUCGGAAUCACUGGGCGUAAAGGGCGUGUAGGCGGUCAAGUAAGUGGGAUGUGAAAUCCCCCGGCUUACCCGGGGACCGGCAUCCCAUACUGCUUGGCGUUGAGUACGGGAGAGGAUGUGGGAAUUCCUGGUGUAGCGGUGAAAUGCGUAGAUAUCAGGAGGAACACCGGUGGCGAAGGCGGCUCACUGGCCCGAUACUGACGCUGGAGGCACGAAAGCGUGGGGAGCAAACAGG
rnacentral:rRNA from 1 species